rnacentral:rRNA from 1 species
CCAAGCUGAUGACUUUGCCUGAUUUUCCGAGAGGUGGGUGCAUGNCCGCCGUCAGUUCGUACCCGUAAGGCGUUCUGUUAAGUCAGAUAACGAACGAGACCUCCGUCACCAUUUGCUAUUCUUCUCUCCGGAGAGGGAGCACUAUGGUGGUACCGCCACUGUUAAAGUGGAGGAAGGAGGGGGCAACGGUAGGUCAGUAUGCCCCGAAUCUCCCGGGCUACACGCGCGCUACAAAGGGCAGGACAAUGGGCUUCGACACCGAAAGGUGGAGGCAAUCCCGAAACCUGCUCGUAAUUCGGAUUGAGGGCUGCAAUUCGCCCUCAUGAAGCUGGAAUACGUAGUAAUCGCGGGUCAACAUCCCGCGGUGAAUAUGCCCCUGCUCCUUGCGCACACCGCCCGUCAAACCACCUUAGUUGGGUCUGGACGAGGGUUUGUCUUCUGACAAGCUCGAAUCUGGGUUCAGCGAGGAGGGUUAAGUCGUAACAAGGUA